rnacentral:lncRNA from 1 species
AUGACACCCAGGCAGGGUCGCCUCGGAGUUGGUGCCCGGAGCGCUGGGCCAGGCGGGGGCGCCCAGGAGUCAGGGCCGCUGCCCCUGCAGUCGUGCGGACCCGGAGGACCUGGGCUCCCACGUUGGCGUCUGGGACACUUCCCCCUGAGUGCCCGAGUCUGCCCACCUGUUAAAGAGAACUUCGGACCAGCCCCGGGGGGGGGGGGGGACAUCCAGGCUUCCGGUCGCGCACCCCCGGCACGCCUGGAGGCCGGCCCGGCCCGGACGGAGGCGGUCUCGGGCGGCACAUGGGGUCGACUGCCCACCCGGGAGACUGAGGCACGGUGGGGCGAGGAGCGCGGGCUCUCGGGACUCCCGCAGACUCCGAGGCGCACGUCGCGGGCCCCCGCGGGCUGCCCAGGCCGCCCACCCGCGGUCUCGGCGCGGAGGCCCCCGCCCAGCGCGCCCAGGGGCGGGGCCGGCCCGGAGCCCGGGAGCGGGGCGCGGAUCGCGGGGUGGGGGGAGCGCGGCGGCGGCGGCCGGGGCAGCCCCCGCGCGGUGCCCGCUCCCGAGCCGGGACACAGCCCCGCGUCCCCCCACAACGCCCGGCCGGGGAGCGGGCGGCGGGGCCUCGCUGCGCGGCGCAGGCCUGCCCCGGGGCGCCCGCCGCCGCCGACCCCGCCCCUCGGCCGCCUCCCCCGCCUCCCCCGCCUCCGCCUCCUCGCGGCCCGGGACGCGCCCGGCCGGCCACCGAGCGGCGGGGACUGCGUCCGGCGCGCUCACUUCCGCGUCCCGCCGCCCUCCGGCCCGCGCGCGCCCGGUCGCCGCCGCCAUCGGACAAUAGGCCGCCUGCCGCGGCCGCCGUGGACUUCCUGCCCGGCCCGGGCCGGCCGGUGCGCCGCUCCCCGCGCCCCUCCCCGCGCCCCUCUCCGCGCCGGUCGGGGAGCCGCGAGCGCCCGGCGCCCGGGACGUGCCUGCGCCUCCGGCCGCCGCGCCUCUGCCGCGGCCGGUCCGGCGGCCUCCACCCUCUCCCGCCGAGCCGGCUUCACUCCGGCUCCCUCCAGAGGCUGCGCUCGUCGUCCAGUUUCGGACUUUGAUUGCUUACGGAGGGGAUUUGUCUUCUUCUAUUUCUUUUUCCUUUUACGAUUUGAAAAGGAGAAAAGAACGCACGGCAAGCUGGGACGGUGAAGCGCCACCAGCUGCCCCCACGUGGACACCUCCGAGGCGAAAGGGAGUUGGACGCACACUUGGGCCGGCCGGCCUUGAGGCCUCCACUUCGGCCGGACUCCCAGGCCUGGGGUCAUGACUCUCAGGCCCGGCAGGUGGAAGGCGUUGACUGUCCUGGACUGGACCUGAGCCCCGGCCCCCGCUGCAACAACCCGCACCCCCGCCCCGCGCUCACCGACACACCGGCCACCUGGGCUAGG